CAAAUUUUGAAUACGGAUAUAACACAUUAAGAGAAACCAUGAUUUGUAACAAGUAGCUCUGUUGUGGUGCUACAGCUUGCAGAUUUGUUUGGCAGGAGGAGCCGAGGAGGCAGGCUUUGCUGAGAGAAAAUUGUGAUUUGUAUGGCACAUGCUUUAGUGUGAGCCGAGUGGUUUCGCUUAUUGAGCACCAUGGGCUUGGUAUUGGGCUUGGUCGAAAAGUUACAAGAGGGAAGGGGUGGAUAUGAAUGAAGGUUCAGCCAUAUACAGAGGCAACCAAAUUCAGAGUCGGGAAGAGAAAAUAGC